rnacentral:lncRNA from 1 species
UGCGAUGUCACUUAUCCCCACAGUUGCUGGCACAUUCUGAUUCCCUUGUAAGUUUUGCAUGAAGUCCAUUGUGUUGCUACACAGAAGAGCCACUGGACAUAACACACAUAUUCCACAGCUAUCUGCAUCAGCUUGUGAGUGUGAUACGAGCAGAUUCCUGUCACCAUCAUCACUGCUGAAAACAAGAGCCAAGGAAAAUAGAAAGAGUGAGUGUUUCAUCAUAGAUAGUUAAAUAAAGCCAGUGAGUAAUCCUAGGUUACCAACAAACACUAAUAAUAGCAAGCCAGAUUUCUUCUCUGCAAAUGAACCUGACGCUUCUGCUCUCAGUCUGCCUUCAAAGGCUGCUCCAGAUCUGUGGCCAAAGGACUGUGCAUUGUGGAGACACUGCAUACAGAAGGACUCAGCCCAAAAGACAAGAACUGACAAAUCAGGUGUCAUCAGAGACCUCAGAAAGCACCAGGAAUGUAUCAGCAUGUCACCAGUAUCAAUUAAUGGUUAAUUCUGAUUCCAAAUGUCUGGCAAGAACAUCUCAGUACCUGGGAAAAACCUGUGGGACAUGUUCUUUUUUUUCCACUUAAAAAUAAGUUAAAGUGGGCUUCGGGGUUGAGAAAACACAGUAAGUUCAGCAGUAGAAAACACUGAAGUCAAGUGGCAAACCUAAGAUGCUGGUUUUAUGGUCUGGGGUUUUGUUUGCUCUGCUUUCUGGUACCUACUAUGUGGUCUCAAUUCCAGCCCAUACUGACCCCAGGAACUCAGAGGACACAUGUCUGAUGUGAAUCCAGUCUAUAGAAUCAGAAAGAUACAUGAUGAAUGCUGAAGUCCCAGAGAAAUCCUAGCGAGCUACUGGUCUUCUGUCUACACUGCAAUAUGGAAGAAGUAGGUUCUGCUCAGCAACAAAAUAGAUGAACUUGCCAAUAAAAGUGAAGAAUACAAAUAGAUCCAUCCUCAACUCCAAAUGCAUCAAAGACAUCAACGCAAAACCAGGUACACUGAACCAGAUAGAAGAGAAAGUGCAAAGUUUCCUUGAACUCAUUGGCACAGGAGAAGACUUUCUGGACAGAACACCAUUAGCAUAGAUAACAAGAUCAACAAUUAAUAAAUAGGACUUCAUGAAACUGAAAAGUUUCUGUAAGGCAAAGUUCAGCAUCAUUCAGACACAGUGGCAGCUUACAGAAUAAGAAAAGAUUUUUAUCAACUCUACAUCCAAUAGAGGACUAAUAUCCAAAAUAUAUAAAGAACACAAGACAUCAGAUACCAAAAUAACAAUCCAAUUUUAAAACUAAUUUAUAAAUUUAAACGGAGAAUUAUUAAAAGAAGAAACUCAAAUGGCCAAAACACUUAGAGAACUGUUCAACAUCCUUAGUCAUCAAAGAAAUGCAAAUGAAAAGCACUUUGAGAUUCCAUCUUAUACCUGUCAGAAUGGCUCAGAUCAAUAAACACAAAUGAAAGCUCAUGCUCAUAAGGAUGUGGAAUAAGUGGAGCAUUCCCCCAUUGCUAGUGGGAGUGCAAACUUGCAAGCCGCUAUGGAAAUCAGUAUGGUGGUUCUUCACAAAGAUGGGAAUUGAUCUACUUCAGUAUCCAACUGUACCACUCUUGGGCAUACACCCAAAUGAUGCUUCUUCCUACCAUAAGGACACUUGCUCAAGAAUCAUUUCCAUUCAUAAUACUCAGAAAUUGCAAACACCCUAGAUGCCCCUCAACAGAAGAAUGGAUAAAGAAAAUAUGGUACAUUUAUACAAUGGAGUAUUACACAGCUAUGUUUUUUUUAAUGGCAUCACAAAAUUUACAGGCAAAUGGAUGGAAGUAGAAAAAAAAUCAUCCUGAGUAAGGUAGCCCAGACCCAGAAAGAUUAAAUAUGUUGUGUAUUUGCUUAUACCUGUAUAUAGGACAUUAAAUAAAUGACAAUCAAUUUCUAUUUCAUAGACCAAGAAAGGUUGGGUAUAGAGGAAGGGACUAGAAGGAAACACAUGGAUUUCCUUGGGAGAUGGAAAUAGAAUACAUUUUAUGAGUUUCCUGGGGGCAAUGGAAGGACAGAAAUGAGUAUGCGGUAGGGAGAGAGAGAUAAGAUGGAUUUGAGUGAGGGAAUGUAGAUAGAGACUGCUGGAAUUAAAUCAAACUUCCUAAAAUAUAUGAAAGCAGGGUGUCGGUGGUGCAUGGCUUUAAUCCCAGCACUCAAGAGGCAGGCAGAUCUCUGUGAGUUCGAGGCCACCCUGGUCUACAGAGAGAGUUCCAGGACAACCUCAAAGCUACACAGAGAAAGCCUGUCUGGAAAAAAAACUUAAAAUAUAUGAAUGUGAUCCAGAUAUCAGAUGAAGUCUCCAAAUAAUGAGGGAAACAGAGUCCCAAGUGGCCAUCUCUUGUCACCAAAUGAAUCUUCCAGUACAGGAAAUGGGUUACAUCCAACUGAGUUGUUGGACAAAGGGAUCCCAUGGGAAUCUCCAAACAACCAAGGCUGUUGCCAUGAUCAGAGAAGCAGAACAUGGGAACAAACACAGAUAUUUCACACACACACACACACACACACACACACACACACACACACACAGAGAGAGAGAGAGAGAG